AGAACGAACGCUGGCGGCGCGUCUUAAGCAUGCAAGUCGAACGGCAAGAUUUUGUAGCUUGCUACAGAAUCCUAGAGUGGCGGACGGGUGAGUAACGCGUGAGCAACCUUUCUCUCAGUGGGGAAUAACACAGGGAAACUUGUACUAAUACCGCAUGAGACCACAGAGUCGCAUGACUUAGGGGUCAAAGAUUUAUUGCUGAGAGGUGGGCUCGCGUCCGAUUAGGUAGUUGGUGAGGUAACGGCCCACCAAGGCGACGAUCGGUAGCCGACCUGAGAGGGUGAUCGGCCACAUUGGAACUGAGACACGGUCCAAACUCCUACGGGAGGCAGCAGUGGGGAAUAUUGGGCAAUGGGCGCAAGCCUGACCCAGCAACGCCGCGUGAGUGAAGAAGGUUUUCGGAUUGUAAAGCUCUAUCCUCGAGGACGAAGGAAGUGACGGUACUCGAGAAGGAAGCCCCGGCUAACUACGUG
rnacentral:rRNA from 1 species